rnacentral:rRNA from 1 species
AAGAGGUCCAGCCUGCCCAGUGACUAAGUUCAACGGCCGCGGUACCCUAACCGUGCGAAGGUAGCAUAAUCACUUGUUCUUUAAAUGGGGACUUGUAUCAACGGCACCACGAAGGCUGCACUGUCUCCUUUCUCCAAUCAGUGAAACUGAUCUCCCCGUGAAGAAGCGGGGAUUAAACUAUAAGACGAGAAGACCCCAUGGAGCUUCAAACUCACCAUACAACUCUGUUCCCUACAUCCCCUGAUUCAAGAGAUAUGUAUGUUAGUUUUGGGUUGGGGGGACCUCGGAGUACAACUUAACCUCCUAAACAAAUAGGUUAACACCUUUAUCCACGAGAAACACCUCUAAGAAUUAUUAAACUAAUGUUUUUGAUCCGAUAAUCGAUCAAUGAACCAAGUUACCCUGGGGAUAACAGCGCAAUCUACUUCAAGAGUUCCUAUCGACAAGUAGGUUUACGACCUCGAUGUUGGAUCAGGGUAUCCGAGUGGUGCAACCGCUACUAAUGGUUCGUUUGUUCAACGAUUAAAACCCU